UACGUAGGGGGCAAGCGUUGUCCGGAAUCAUUGGGCGUAAAGAGCGUGUAGGCGGUCCGGUAAGUCGGUUGUGAAAGUCCAGGGCUCAACCCUGGGAUGCCGACCGAUACUGUCGGACUAGAGUUCGGAAGAGGCGAGUGGAAUUCCCGGUGUAGCGGUGGAAUGCGCAGAUAUCUGGAGGAACACCGGAGGCGAAGGCGGAUCACUGGACCGCCACUGACGCUGAGGCGCGAAAGCUAGGGGAGCAAACAGG
rnacentral:rRNA from 1 species